CUAGCACCGAGUUUGUGCUCUUCGUGGUCAUUACAGGAUGAUAAGGAAAUGAGAAUAGUCAAGGUAACAUAUUAUCAUGUUUUGAUACAAUGGCAAGAGAACACUGAAACCUACAUUUCUUACAUCUCAAAAUAUAAAGCAAGACAUAGGAAAAAUCUAACCUUGCUUUGUUUUUGUCUUUUCCAUGGUGACUGUUGCUUCUUUCCUCCAGCUGAUUCUUCAACAUUACAUCUUCAUUGUCCCUGGAUCAGGCCACCCCUUCUUCUCUGGACCUGUCCAAUGAAAUCAAGAAGAAGGGAUAGCAGGAAGAACUGGUUCUCUCUCUGGAUUCACCUGAGUUGAAAUUAAGAGCUUCUCCAAGACAUUCUCCAAGAGGUGGAGAGUCCAGUGUUGCCCCAGUGCAAGGUAAUACCUACUUCAAAGGAAGAUGAAGUUAUUGUCACUGUAUUUUCACCGGGCUGGUCCUGAGUGGAGAGGCAGGAA
rnacentral:lncRNA from 1 species